rnacentral:misc_RNA from 1 species
UCUCCGUUGGUGAACCAGCGGAGGGAUCAUUACCGAGUGCAAACUCAUAACCCUUUGUGAACCUAUAUCUGUUGCUUCGGCGGCUCGCUCUCGGACGAGCCCGCCGGUAAUAUCAGUAUCUCUGUUUGAACCCGACGAUACCUCUGAGUGUUCUUAGCGAACAGUUAAAACUUUUAACAACGGAUCUCUUGGCUCUA